GAUGAACGCUGGCGGCGUGCCUAAUACAUUCCAGUCGAGCGAACAGAUGAGGAGCUUGCUCCUCUGACGUUAGCGGCGGACGGGUGAGUAACACGUGGAUAACCUACCUAUAAGACUGGGAUAACUUCGGGAAACCGGAGCUAAUACCGGAUAAUAUAUUGAACCGCAUGGUUCAAUAGUGAAAGACGGUUUUGCUGUCACUUAUAGAUGGAUCCGCGCCGCAUUAGCUAGUUGGUAAGGUAACGGCUUACCAAGGCAACGAUGCGUAGCCGACCUGAGAGGGUGAUCGGCCACACUGGAACUGAGACACGGUCCAGACUCCUACGGGAGGCAGCAGUAGGGAAUCUUCCGCAAUGGGCGAAAGCUUGACGGAGCAACGCCGCGUGAGUGAUGAAGGUCUUCGGAUCGUAAAACUCUGUUAUUAGGGAAGAACAAAUGUGUAAGUAACUAUGCACGUCUUGACGGUACCUAAUCAGAAAGCCACGGCUAACUACGUG
rnacentral:rRNA from 1 species